rnacentral:rRNA from 1 species
CCCUUAGAUGUUCUGGGCCGCACGCGUGCUACACUGAGUGGAUCAGCGGGUCAGGUUGCGCGAAAGCGUUUCCUAAUCUUUAAAUCCGCUCGUGAUGGGGAUUGGCGGUUGCAAUUUUCCGUCAUGAACGAGGAAUACCUUGUAAGCGCGGGUCAUCAUCCCGCGCUGAAUACGUCCCUGCCCUUUGUACACACCGCCCGUCGCUCCUACCGAUUGAGUGGUCCGGUGAGGCUUUGGGAUCUGAGCGGAAAGAGCGUUUCGCUGUUUCUGCCCGGAAAACUCAGUCGAACCUUAUCAUUUAGAGGAAGGAGAAGUCGUAACA